CUCAAUGAUCUAUGCUGGCUCUGGAGGCCUCUUCAAAGCUGAAAUCCACCAUGUAAUGACCGUGGCAUGAACCACAACCGGAAAGAGCAGCAUCUGUGAAUGGUGGAAGACGUGCCUGUUUUCCGCUCUAGGCUCCCUGGAAAAAGGAGCAGAACUCCACUGAGAGACUCCAACGCAUCUAAGCAUUCUCAGCUUCAACCAAACCAGCCACGUCCACGUCCCAAGCCUGGAGUCAGUGCUGGAGGACUGCUUUAGAGGGAGUGUCAACCGAUGUGACUUUGAUGGAACUCUGAAAGAUUGAUGGCAAGCGACGAUAUCCCAUGUGAGCCUGCAGAUGUGCCCAAGGGAAGCAUUCCAUAAACAAAUGAUUUGCAUAAAAUCAUCUGUGCCUCUUCAAACUCGUGCAGAUAUUCAGUUUGGGCUCUAUUCAAAUUUUAAGCUCAAGUUCCUGCCAAUUUUAUGUUAUCAAACAGGCUUGCUCAUCUUAGUUAGAAGCCUCAUAAAAUUAUCAUCACUUAGAGAUUGCUCACCCUCCCAGGGAGCUACUGAAACUUUAUCCCAAAUCAAAGAUACAUAAAUUGGUUCCAUUUUGCAUUUGGAAUUCUGAGUAAGCAAGGCGAUUCCAGUCUUAUCAUAUCUCAGUAGUUGGCAGUAGAAGAAGCCACAACACUCAUCCAGUCACUGACCUGGCUCCUCAACAUGGCAGACAUUCCUGCAGAAUAAGAAACCCUCCACAGAACUCAGCUUCCUGGGAUCCAGGCAACAACAGAUGCUUUGCAUUUGAGUUACUCCCGUAUGCUGCCUCCUGAAUUAUCAUAUCUAUUCAUUUUCUGCCACACAUUAAAAUUCUGACUUGUACUGAAAACCAUGCUGAUCUGCACAAAACUGUCUAUUUUGUUGCCUUUCACUGAAGGGAUAAUGAUUCUAUACCUAACAGGCAAACUGUCUCAGAGCAUCUUACUUCUCUGCAUUUUUGCCACAGUCACUUCCACUCUUCUCAUUCCCAACGAGAGAGGAAUAAGAUCAUUAGUAGUUUAGUGUUCCACUGGGACCUGAGAAGUAAUAAUAAUAAUAAUAAUAAUAAUA
rnacentral:lncRNA from 1 species